rnacentral:rRNA from 1 species
AACGAACGCUGGCGGCAUGCCUAACACAUGCAAGUCGAACGAGACCUUCGGGUCUAGUGGCGCACGGGUGCGUAACGCGUGGGAAUCUGCCCUUGGGUUCGGAAUAACAGUUAGAAAUGACUGCUAAUACCGGAUGAUGACUUCGGUCCAAAGAUUUAUCGCCCAGGGAUGAGCCCGCGUAGGAUUAGCUUGUUGGUGAGGUAAAGGCUCACCAAGGCGACGAUCCUUAGCUGGUCUGAGAGGAUGAUCAGCCACACUGGGACUGAGACACGGCCCAGACUCCUACGGGAGGCAGCAGUGGGGAAUAUUGGACAAUGGGCGAAAGCCUGAUCCAGCAAUGCCGCGUGAGUGAUGAAGGCCUUAGGGUUGUAAAGCUCUUUUACCCGGGAUGAUAAUGACAGUACCGGGAGAAUAAGCCCCGGCUAACUCCGUGCCAGCAGCCGCAGUAAUAC